AACGUCUCUCAGAGCAGCUCUGAUUGGCUGAUCAGCAGCUUUGGACGUUUCUCUGUUUUCACCACAAUCACUGACCUGCAGACGCUCAACCCCAGCUUCAAUGUGUUGGACACUCUGAAUCUGUUGAGCCUGAGGCAGUUAGUGAAGGUUUCCAGCACUCCUGGAUUCCUGACCAGCGCUGCUGCGGUUAAUAAUCUGCUGCUCUACGUGCCGGACGCUCAAUUCACAUCGUUCUUCACAUUCCUCUCCGCUACGCUACAGAUGCAGGGCAUUGUUCUCCCUCCUCCUGUGCAGGAGGCGUUUCUGCAGCAGGUGUUUGACAGGGCCAAUCUGACCACGAUAUCAGACGCUGAUCUGCAGAUGUGGAUUCUGAACAUACUGCCUUCCUUCUUAUCCAACAUUACAGUCCAACACGUGACGUCCUACUUCAGUGUCGUCCUGAAGCGACCCUGUCCCAUCAGCCAGCAAGCGGUGCAGCUGUUGAACUCGUCCAGCUCCACCUUCCAGCUGGCGACACAAGAUCAGAUCUACCAGCUGAUCCUCGGCUCUCUCACAGGCCCCACCCCACUGCGCUGCUAUGGUAACCAGAGCUACUACGCUUUCCUGACCUCCUCCUUCAUGAGUUUCCAGUUCCCCAAUCUGACCACCUUCCUGUCGCUGAUGCCGCCGGCUCGCGUGCCAGAGCUGAUGGAGUCGGUGUCUCCAGCGGAGGUCAGCAGUCUCCUGAAUCGGCCCAACGCUGUGGACGAUGUUGCCCAAAUCUGCCGGCUUUUCAGAAUUUACCCAAAGACGCCCCAGUACUUACAG
rnacentral:lncRNA from 1 species